CUCGUCUGUCUGCUGGGCUGGAGGCAGGGCCUUUGUGAAGGCGGGUUGUGCUCAGAUCGCCUCUGGGCCCUUCCUCCAGCCCAGAGGCGGGUUCA
rnacentral:pre_miRNA from 1 species